GGAUAGCUCAGUCUGUAGAGCAUGAGACUCUUUUAAUCUCAGGGUUGUGGGUUCGAGCCCCAGGUUAGAUG